rnacentral:RNase_P_RNA from 1 species
AGAGUCGGCCGGGCAGCCGCUCUUCAGUCCUUAAACAGACUGGGGGGAGGAAAGUCCGGGCUCCAUAGGACAGGGUGCCAGGUAACGCCUGGGCGGCGCGAGCCGACGGAAAGUGCCACAGAAAAUAUACCGCCUCCUUUGUUUUGGGGGUAAGGGUGAAAUGGUGCGGUAAGAGCGCACCGCGCCUGUGGCAACACAGGUGGCAGGGUAAACCCCACCCGGAGCAAGACCAAAUAGGAACCCCAUUAGGUGUGGUCCGCACUGGGUUCGGGUAGGUUGCUUGAGGCGUCUGGUGACGGACGUCCCAGAUGAAUGGUUGUCCACGACAGAACCCGGCUUACAGGCCGACUCUCACC